GGGGCCUCUUACCGGCCCUGAGGGUCCCGGGGACCGGCCCGUCCUCUCCUUGCUCUGCUUCGCUGUCACCAAAACUCCGCCUGGCGAACGCGGGUGUGCCAUCUCGGCCCACCGAGGCACCCUGCCCUUGCUGAAGGUGGACACGGUCCUCUUCUCCCAUUAUUCCUUGGCCUGCUCCCCCCCUGUCGGCGGGGCAGGUCGCAGCCUUGGCUGAAGUAGCAGCACCCCAAGAAAUGGGUGAGCCUUCUCAGUGCCUCGCCAACGGCCAUCUUCUCUGCAUGGCUAUUUUCUGAUGUGGUUUUGCCAGCAAGAUAACAAGCUGCUGCCUGAAAAUUGCAACUGGGAAGGCAGUUGUUCCUCCAACUUGUCUCUGAAGCAGUGUUCCUGAAAACUCAUGUCACUGCAACAUACAGCAUGCCCUGGAAUGCACAUAGUCUGAAUAGCUUGAUUUGUAACGAAAAGGAAGAUUUUCCUUUCCAGCAAGUCAACAAGAUCCCACAGCUGCUGACCCUCCUGAUCCUUAGGCAGCUGUCGCAAGGUUUCCCAGGUAGAGGAAAGCUGUCUGUUUCAGAGCCAGUGUGACUCUUCUGAGGGAUGCCAUUGCCUAAGUAGCCUGCUCUGACACAUAGCCCUGGUGGGAGGCAUUCGUCUGUCCAUGCACAUCUUUACUGCCUGACCACAUCUCUGCUGUUGUACAAGAGCAGCCCUGAGGCCAGUGUUACAGAACCUCAUUACCUACUUGAUCAAAAGUGACCCAUCUGGGACCCUCCUGCAGAGUAAUGCUGGGUGCUGUCUACAUCUUGAACACAGUUAAGCCCACAAGAUGUGGUCUGAAGUUUGUGAUGGUAAAGCAGAGGUCCCCACAUCAGGUCAGAGCAGCAUCACCGACAAUCAGAUUAGUAGCUGAGCCUCCAGAUUUUCAUCUUUGUUGAUUUCUGAACAGCAUUUGUGUACCAGGCUCAUCUCCAUCAGAGAUAUACACAGUUAGAAGGAAGUCAUACAGUAUUUGAGUGAUACACACGCUCUGCAGUAAGAUGAAUUUUCUCCUUGUGGACUGAAGGCAAAUGUGGAAAUUGAUUGCAAAGUCUUUGCAUCAAACCAAACCCUGCCAACUAAUAUAAAACGUCUCUUUAA